GUGAACCCAAUACCGAAGACACGUCUCAGACAUGCAAAAAUAAAAUGAAAAGGAGAAAAGUACGUUGCAAAGAGCACAACAGAGAGAAGUGAGAGAAAAUGCCCGGGAGAAUACUCGAGCAGAAGCCAUAUCAUUGGCAUAUCUAUGCACAGUUUUUUCUGUUCGAGAGUUCAAUGCAUUGAUUAUAUCUCGAUUACGCAUACGCCACGACGGCCAGCGCAGAUCAACCCGCAACUCAAACAGAACGUCGAACUGGAAUCGAAAACAGAAAAGUCGCCGCUGGUUAGAGGGGAACACAGAUCCCGGCAGACAACCUUCAAAACAGGCUGGACAAAUUAUUCCCCCCCACCCCCUUGUGGGCUCAUUGCUUGCCGCUGUCAUGGCACUUAUUUAAUUUAUAAUCAAAAUCAGCAAACCCGACCCCAGACCCCCAGACCCCCAGACCACGGACCAAGCCCAGCCGGGUACGAGCCAAGUCAGUCAAUAAAAGUCAGAGGAGGUUGGAGUGGGGCUGGAGAAAACUUGUGGCAUUUGUGCUUAUUUGGACAUUCAAAUUGCCUCAAGCAUGAAUUAUGUGCGGAGAGCGAAUCAAAUUUGACUCGAAUUCAUUCCCUGUUUUGUCCGCCAUUGGAAUGAAUGUAAAUAAGCGUAAAGAUUCGCUUAGUGACUUUGAUACCAAAUGUUGGCCUUUGUUCACUGAUAAGUAAAUUGAACUUUCCUUUAGUUUCGAGAGCUGCGAGAGUUCAAAGUUGA